UGCCUCUUGAUCCUAAAUAAGAGGUUAAUCCUGCCCAGUGACCCAAGGGUUAAACGGCCGCGGUACCCUGACCGUGCUAAGGUAGCGUGAUAAUUUGCCCUUUAAUUGUGGGCCUGUACGAACGGACAAACGAAAGUAAAGCUGUCUUCUAACAUAGAAAUAUAAAUUGCUAAUCAAGUGAAAACGCUUGAAUAUUUUUAAAGGACAAAAAGACCCCGUAGAGCUCAGGCAUUAACUGGGAUUUAAAAAAUAUUAAAUUGCCACACUUUGUCCCCUUACAUGCCUUAACUGGGGCGGUUGAGGAAAAAUAAAUCUUCCUUUAUGAAAAAAGGCUACCAAGCCGCAAACAAUUGAUCCUUAUAAAAGAUCAAAGAAAAAGCUACCUCGGGGAUAACAGAUUAAUCUUUCUUAAGAGUUCACAUUGACAGAAAGGUUUGACACCUCGAUGUUGGCUUAAGGUUCCCAUGAGAUUGCAGCAGUCUCCAACGGUAGGUUUGUUCAACCUUUAAAACCUU
rnacentral:rRNA from 1 species